UGUUCGAUUGUUCGUUGUUUCGACUCACCCUUGCGCAUCUUGGCGGAGAAAAGGAAUAUGUUUCUGCCGGCGACCCGCCGCCCACUCUCGCGGGAGUCUCGGGUCUCGCGAAGUAACGAAUUGCUUUACGGCACAGACCCCCAAACACGGAACCGGCUCGAUAUAAACACAAGUCACUAAGGGAUUGUUAUAUUCAUCAUAGAUCCGCCGACUAAAAAGAGACAGAGAAACCCAAUGUCGGAGGAACAGAAGAAGAGAAAAGGGAGACUGACCGGCAGAGAGGCCAGACACGAACUGCAAAUCAGACGCCGACCCGGCCGUGUUGCUUUUGAAAUUGAAAGUACCCUUGGGUGGCCUUUGUCUUCGUGGUAUUCUUGAUGUUGAUAGUCUCUGUACAAAUGUGUUUGCUCAACCAUUUUGUUGUGAGCCCUGUAAAAAUUGUUUUAUCGACCGUUUUGUUGUGAGCCCUGUAUGUUUCUAGCUUGCUUGGUUGCAACCAUAUAAACACCUUUGUUUCCA